CAAAGAGACUAGAGACGGGGGAAUAUAUCAGGGCGAAUAGCCCAUCUUUUACUCCUGCAGAUAGCGAGCCCCGACUCCACACACCCCUCUGAAGACAGCUGAUACGAAAGACAAAAAUGCUUAUUCAAUGCCCGGAUGUUGAAGAGGUCUGCUCCGCGAGCCGCCUGGUUUAUUGGUGCAACGUUACAAGUAAUGAUGCUGCUUGAAGUAACACAUACAGUAAACAGUACGGCGUGCACUGUAUGUGAAUGGGGAAAAGUGGCAGUUUCACGCGCAGAAAUAUCUUUGACAACAAUACAAGAAAAUAACUUAAGUUUCUCUAAUUACGAAAGUAAACUUUGUUUCAGUUCGGAGCUGACGUGUGGUUAGUGGGACUAAUUCUGUUUUUAAAUUGGUAUUUACUAUAGACCAAUUAAUUUAAUAUUAACAGAAUGAAUCUGGGGAAUGUUUUUCUUUCUGUAAUAUCUUAGUAAUAACUAAAAAAAAGUUCUUCGGAAGCUCUCACGUUAUUUUCCCCGAAAAAAUAAUGUAGUCCGGCAAAUUUCUUGCAGAAUAUAAAUGUACUACAGAAAUAGUUGGUUAAUAUGGUAAAAUAAGUUUUAUAUGGUUAAAACGUAAGUCCCCCGCAAUAUUCACUCAUCUCAGCUAGUUCUCCAGCCAUUGAACUACAUCUAUGACUUCAUGUACGAUCUCUUAGUUGGUCUUUUGCAUAUCCUGGACGUUCUUUUUUGCUGUUGUUUUUCAUUUGAAUAUGUCUUAUUAUGUUCUUUAUGAGGUAUAGAUUUUGCUCCAAUGCGAACUUACACCUAUUACUGGUCGUUCACGGGAACCUCAGCUUAGUUGCACUUAUGCCUAAUUGGUUCCUUGAUAACUAUGCUCGUAAUACAGGCUACUGCUGCCAAACUACGUCGCUUUGGAUUCAUUUACCGUCAAGAUCCAACAAGUGAAACAGUGAAAUUCAUAUUUCACUGCAUCUCUCUGUCUCUGCAACUGGGCAUUAAAACUAGUGCUUCCUCCUCGUCCAGCAUCUGCUUCCCCUCGUCCUGCCCUUUGCACUGGGAAGCAAAGCUUUGGGUCACAGUCAUGGAGUCAAGAUGAGAAGAGAGUAAAAAUGAAUACAUGUAAUGGAGGGUGACACAUGCCAGUGCAAGUGGACGUGGGGGAAAGGCGUUUCUGUAGAAGUGAACUGAAGUACAUCUCCUCGCCUCAUCUGUCUGUUUAAAACAUUAACCGUGUUCCUGUUCACCAUUUUGGCCUCAACACAAAUGGUUCGGUGUCUGUGUGCUGUUCCAGGUAAUCAGUUAGACCACAGCAGUUACCCAGGCUGGAAUAUAUACCCAACCACAUCUAGCAUAUCUGAAAUGGUACUGUAAUAUGAACUAUCAGCGUUGUCUGGUGCUCCACUACCCAGGAAUGUCCCCACUUUAACCCUACUGGACAUGGAAGAUCGUAGGAAAUAUAAGACACCUGAGACACAAUAACUGACUGAAGAGCAGACGACCCAAAGGGAAGCAGAGGGGCACGAAACUUCACAGCGUUUUCAGGAUGGCGGGAAAACAUGUGCACUAGUGGCAAAUUAAACUGCAUUUUUUUUGUAAGGUCAAGGACCUCAGUUGCACAGCAAACAUAAUAAUGCUUAUAAAAAUGUACUGUCAGUCUGAUAGCAAAUCUGUAGCAAAUCAGACAAGCAAUUUGCAUAAAAUGUUAGUAGAUAUAUAAGAUACAUAUGGUGUGUAUAUUCUCCUCUGUAGUAAGGACAAAUGGGAAAGGAUAGCAUGCCUUACAAGCCCAACUUCAAGAAUGAACUCCCAACAUAGACAAAAUAGAGACAAUUAUAGUGCUACUGGAUAUGCCACUGAUGAUACACUGAUGAGUAUGUUAAUGUUGCUGUUUUUAAAACUGUGUGAAGCACUUUGGGAGAAUGUGUCUGGAAAAGGUGAUGCAUGAAAAUCAAUUCAAGUGGAUUGGACUUUAUGUUAUGGCAGUCGGCCUAAUUUAGGCA